UAGAAAAGGGAAGGUAGAAGAUUCUAGAGGCCUGGGUGCCUCACUUCACAGUCAUUACAAUUCCCUUUUCCUCAAACCCCUAAGCCCCAGGAAGAGUGAAUGGGGAAGAAAAAGAAGUGUGAAAAUAUUGAUAGUACUGAGAAGCAUAAGAAAACUUAAGAAGAAACUGUUAGUAUCAGGAGAGGAAGGAGCAAAAGGGUGCCGGGAGCUGGAACCAGGAGCAGAGGUGGAGAGUGGAGCCAGAGCUGCGGUAAAUCAGUGAGAACUGAACAACAGUUCUCUGUCCUGGCUUUAUCGAUGCUGAGAUAGAGUUGCUUGCUCCAGGAAGCUCUUACUCCUGAGAGAUGAGUACGAACCAACUAAACAGCUCUCCAAUCAAUAGCAACAACUUGCUCAUCAAGAUGCCCCUCAAUACCCUCACCUCACUGAGCCCACAAAUGCAAAGACAUUGUUUCAAACUUUGCUUAAUUUCAACCAAUUCCUCACCAUGCAAGUCCUGUUAAAAAGUACUCAGUCCAUAUAUCCCAAGAAACCAG